rnacentral:tRNA from 1 species
GAAGGAGUAGUUUAGAAAAAAUACAAGGUUGUCAACUUUGAGAUGCCAUUUAUUUGGCCUUCUUCUC